rnacentral:rRNA from 1 species
AAUACAUGCAAGUCGAACGAAUCUCUUUUAGAGAUGAGUGGCGAACGGGUGAGUAAUACAUAGGUAACCUGCCCCUGUGCGGGGGAUAACAGGAGGAAACUCCUGCUAAUACCGCAUAGCCAUGAGCACCGCAUGGAGCUCAUGCCAAAUAUCCUUUAUGGGAUAGCGCAGGGAUGGACCUAUGGCGCAUUAGCUGGUUGGCGGGGCAACGGCCCACCAAGGCAACGAUGCGUAGCCGGCCUGAGAGGGCGGACGGCCACAUUGGGACUGAGACACGGCCCAGACUCCUACGGGAGGCAGCAGUAGGGAAUUUUCGGCAAUGGGGGAAACCCUGACCGAGCAACGCCGCGUGAGCGAAGAAGGCCUUCGGGUCGUAAAGCUCUGUUGUAAAGGAAGAACGGCGCAUACAGGAAAUGGUAUGCGAGUGACGGUACUUUACCAGAAAGCCACGGCUAACUACGUGCCAGCAGCCGCGGUAAUACGUAGGUGGCGAGCGUUAUCCGGAAUCAUUGGGCGUAAAGAGGGAGCAGGCGGCCGCAAGGGUCUGUGGUGAAAGACCGAAGCUAAACUUCGGUAAGCCAUGGAAACCGGGCGGCUAGAGUGCGGAAGAGGAUCGUGGAAUUCCAUGUGUAGCGGUGAAAUGCGUAGAUAUAUGGAGGAACACCAGUGGCGAAGGCGACGGUCUGGGCCGCAACUGACGCUCAUUCCCGAAAGCGUGGGGAGCAAAUAGGAUUAGAUACCCUAGUAGUCCACGCCGUAAACGAUGGUCACUAAGUGUCGGGGGUCAAACCCCGGUGCUGCAG